CCUACGGGUUGUAAACUUCUUUUAUAAAGGAAUAAAGUGAGGCACGUGUGCCUUUUUGUAUGUACUUUAUGAAUAAGGAUCGGCUAACUCCGUGCCAACAGCCGCGGUAAUACGGAGGAUCCGAGCGUUAUCCGGAUUUAUUGGGUUUAAAGGGAGCGUAGAUGGGUUGUUAAGUCAGUUGUGAAAGUUUGCGGCUCAACCGUAAAAUUGCAAUUGAAACUGGCAGUCUCGAGUUGGAGAGAAGUAUGCGGAAUGCGCGGUGUAGCGGUGAAAUGCAUAGAUAUCGCGCAGAACUCCGAUUGCGAAGGCAGCAUGCCGGCUCCACACUGACGCUGAGGCACGAAAGCGUGGGUAUCGAACAGGAUUAGAUACCCGAGUAGUC
rnacentral:rRNA from 1 species